rnacentral:rRNA from 1 species
AAAGAAAACAAGCAAGACAUUUAGAGUACGAAAGGAAAAAUAUUUCUACUGGCGGUCCUCUAUCUAACUAGAGACCUAUGCCUCUAAACGAAUCUGCGCGCCAGAUUAGUCCUCUCUUAGAUAUAUCUCACCCUACCCACUGCUGUCUGAAGAAAUAGAGAAUUAUUUCUACUCCCUCAAAAGGACUUAAGGCAAGUAAAAGUGUAGGAUAUGGGGAGGAAUGGUGUAGGCCAGUCUAAUUGAUUCUUGGAAUAGUGAAAAUUUUUCCCUUUUAGAGAAUUUAGAAGUAAGGGGGGUUUACUAAUACUCACCUGAACCACUGCUCUAGAGGAUGU